UCUACUCUCACCAGUGCAAGCCUAGCCAAGGCCAAGCCACUACUUCCAUAAUGGCGUGUGUGCGGGAAAAUUGUGCUUCUCUAUUACAGAAAAGUUGUAUGUAUUGCAUUUUGUAGCCAUUUUGGAAACAGCUUUAUACUGCACGCUGCAUGUGGAUCCACGCCUCGAUGCUGGUAGAACUGUCUGGGCUUGCGGACUACGACAUGUGUUACUGCUUCCGAAGGUUGUGCUGAAGAAGCGGCCAUUGAAAUCAGGAUGUGCAUCUGGAAACCUGCAACUACAGGAGAAACAUGCAGUGCUGCACGCAGAAAAUGUGAGGACAGAUGGGGAAGACCUCUGUUCACAAAUUCAUGAAGAAAAUGUCAAGGUCUUGAAACUUCAACCCUAGGAUACAGCAUCAUCAACAGAGCCCAGUCCACUGGUUGGGCAUCUGCAGUCAUCCAUCCCCUGGCAUGCGUAAAGACGUCGCUGUACAGGACCACCGGCUGUGCGAACUGCCAGAGGACGCAAGGGAAUUCCUCCCGAUUCUUUUUGCAUCUUCAGUCCUGUCCAUCUUGCUGCCAGUGACCCUUGAAGAAUGCUUCUGCCUCUCAGGAGAAUUCAGCCUUAGCUGAUAACAGAAGCCCAUAGGUGGGAUCGAUGUACCUGACAGCACUGUCACUCAACCCAGAGUCCAAGUCAACAACUGCCAGUGGUGACUGUGUCAACUGUGGAGCAACUUCCUUGGUGUUCAUUUCUUGCUCCUCUGUCUCUGCAGUGAG